CAGACACAGCAGCCUCUUCCCUGAUGGUGUGGGGAGCAGCAGGAGAGCCAAGGCCAUUGCCAGCCCAGCACCCGGGAGGUGCCGCCCAGAUGCCGGAGAGCAAAAGGCAGUGCACCUCUGAGUUCGCCAGCUGAGACAUCUUGUUUUUGUUUUCUCUGUGAAUGAUCACGGAUGCGCCAUCCAGGCUCUGACCAACACGGUGCAGCUCCUACGACCACGUAGCCUAUGGAUGGCGAAGCCCAGAGGCCGCGGGGCAGUCGCUGGGAGGUGCGGCUCAGAGGAGAGGACCUCCGUACACCUUCCAGCAAUAAAAGCAUCUGGUGGACGCCGCUGUGUAGGCUCUGGUUGCCAAGGCUUUCCGGAGCCGGGACGUCUCAGGCUUUACUGGACAUGCAGAUUGCCUGCAGAACGGGCGAAAAGGCAGAUGCCGAUUUGAUAGGCCUGAGGUGGACCCUGAGAUUCUGCAGUUCUGACAAGCUCCCAGUUGAUGCCAAGGCUCCUGGUCCAUGACCUGUACUUUGAGCAAUGAGAGUGUUUCAACAAGAUACCCAUGUAAUUUUGGUGUCCACGUUGAGAAGCGCUGUGCUACAUCUCAAGAAGCUGUGGGCCUUAAGAAGGACUCCUUGGGGUGACUGCAAGAGCUGUGACGUGGUCGGCUGUGGGCCAGCCUCUGGGAACAAGACGCAUUGACUUGGAGAUUCCAGAUGGUGCCAUCAGGUGUACAUAAGUGUCAGCAGUUCCCUGGGAGGAGUGGAAACAGCUAAUCUUAAGUGUUUCUGUCUGUGGUAGUCCCUUCUUAUUUAAUCCUCCUCAUAACUCUGAGNAGCCUCUGGGAACAAGACGCAUUGACUUGGAGAUUCCAGAUGGUGCCAUCAGGUGUACAUAAGUGUCAGCAGUUCCCUGGGAGGAGUGGAAAGUGCUACUCUUAAGUGUUUCUGUCUGUGGUAGUCCCUUCUUAUUUAAUUCUCCUCAUAACUCUGAGGCAGGACCUUUUAUAGUUGCAACUUAAAGAUGAAGAAACCAAGGCUCAUGGGUUCCACAGCGGGGUUUGAAUAAUCCUAUCAUGUCCAAGUCCACACACUCAGGCUGCCUGCCCUGCCUCCGGAUUCAGCACCCUGACAACCAUAAAAGAAGCAGAGGGGUCUGUGUAGGAGGCCUUGAUGGCCAAUGACCUUGAGCUGGCUUCAGCUGCAGGCACCAGUGGGCCAUCUCUAUGUGCUGCACUUAAAGCGGAAAAGUGGAGGCCAGGUGCCCCAGGGGCCUGGGCCAAGUCCCCUUCCCCUGCCCUCCCUGUUCCAUUAGGCUUGGCAAGCCCCUGAGCCUUAGAUGGAGCUGGAGGGGAAGUGCGGACUCCUGUGCCCACUUCCGCCUGCGGCUGUGAGACCCCUGAACUGAAAACUCCAUGGCCUUCAAAAGCAUGGACAGACUUGUGGCACCUCUUUAAUUUUAAUUCCCAGCAUUUUGCCCCAACCCUGCAAGGCAAUGUGAGGGCAUGUAACAACUAAACUUAUUUUCCCCUAAACCCUUUAAUUAUGAUAAAAAUAGAAGGCCCUCAACCACCGUUAUCCAACUCGAUAACCAUGAAUAAUGCACAUUAAUGCACAGGCUAAGAAUAGGACAUGGGGGCGCUGAUGGAGCCGGCCAUGAGCAAACAGGAUCAGGAUAAACUGUGGGACUUCUAAGAGGUAUGUAUCCAAACACACAUCACCCGCAUCUUCAGAUGCAGGUGCCAUAUGGUGAACCAGCAGCAUCACCUGGAAUGAACUUCUGAGAGGGCACGAGGAGUCCAACUCUUCUGAGUCUUCGAGGUGAUUCUGAUGUAUCUAAGAAUCACAGAUGUAUCUCAAAAAUGACUUCACUCGUCAAUAACUUCACCGGACUUUGAAAAGUAUCUCAAGGGGAUCCGGGAGAAAUAGUGUGGGCCAGCACAGGGAGUCAGAGUGGGGGGUCCGGGAGAUGCCUCCUCCUAGACUUCUCCUUGGAAGGAAAUCACUUUACUAUUUGGAACCCAGUGAAAGGAUGAGGGAUAACUGGAGAAAACAUUACUGAUGACUAUGAAACAGACCUUUUGCUAUUUAACUUAUGCUGCUUUAAGUCUUCAAAGUACUUUGAGGGAGAGCAGCUGACACCUGAGAUGUGACAGUGCUACCACCCAGAGAAGGGGCAGGAUCCUGGAGUCUCGCCAUCAGACCUAGCCAAUUAUGGCUUCAAAUCUGACUUCGUUCCCAGACACUCAGGGAAUAUCAGAAGUGGUGACCAGUGGAAAAUAAAACUGAGUCAGAUAGAAAGAUGAAUGGUGGU
ensembl:lncRNA